rnacentral:rRNA from 1 species
UACAGAGGUCCCAAGCGUUGUUCGGAUUCACUGGGCGUAAAGGGUGCGUAGGUGGUGAGGUAAGUCGGAUGUGAAAGCUCGGAGCUCAACUCCGAAAUGGCAUUGGAAACUACCUUGCUCGAGGGUUGGAGGGGGGACUGGAAUACUUGGUGUAGCAGUGAAAUGCGUAGAUAUCAGGAAGAACACCAACGGCGAAGGCAGCUCGCUGGGACGGUACUGACGCUGAGACGCGAAAGCGUGGGGAGCGAACAGG